UAUCUCUGUAGAGUCUGCAUAUCAAUAAGCGGAGGAAAAGAAACUAACAAGGAUUCCCUUAGUAACGGCGAGUGAAGCGGGAAGAGCUCAAAUUUGAAAUCUUCAAGGUUCUACCUUGACGAAUUGUAGUUUAAAGAAGUGUUUUCUGUUAGAUGAGUAGCAAAAGUUCCUUGGAAUGGGACAUCAUAGAGGGUGAGAAUCCCGUAUUUGGUUAUUCAUUCUAGCUUUGUGAUACACUUUCAAAGAGUCGGAUUGUUUGGGAAUGCAGUCCAAAAUGGGUGGUAAAUUUCAUCUAAAGCUAAAUAUUGGCGAGAGACCGAUAGCGAACAAGUACCGUGAGGGAAAGAUGAAAAGGACUUUGAAAAGAGAGUUAAACAGUACGUGAAAUUGUCAAAAGGGAAGCGUUUGACACCAGUGUUGUUUUUCCGAAAAUCAAUUACGAAUGGCUUGAUUUUGUGUUGUAUUGACCAUAUCAGCUUUCUUCACCUUUUUCGAGUCUUUCUUAAUGCACUUUUCGGUUAACAAGUCAACAUCAAUUUCUUUUGUUGUAAAAGAGUAUUCGGAAGGUGGCUUUCUUUUCGGAGAAAGUGUUUAUAGCCCUAUACUUCUACAAUCGGAGAGAUUGAGGUCUGCAGCGUAGAUCCUUCGGGGUUAGAUACACUUGUGCUAAGUUGUAGCUUUUCAUAGACAACUUGUUGACUAUGUUUAGUCAUGCGGCUUACUCGCUUGUGCUAUUUUACCUACGCUUAGGAUGUUGAUGUGAUACUGCGAGCA
rnacentral:rRNA from 1 species